rnacentral:tRNA from 1 species
UUAACCGAAGCCAAAAAGAGGCAUAUCACUGUUAAUGAUAUAAAUGAAUUUAUACUCCGGUUAAA